GCAGCCACCGGCUAGGCCACGCGGCCAUUCCGCAGCGACUCUUGCCCUGCCAACGAUGCGCCUGCAUGGCGGCGGCCUCCCCGACUCCACCGGCGCCCUCUCUCCAGGGCCGGGCCCACCGAGGAGUCCCAGCCAGGCCUUCGAGGACGCCUCGAAAGUGGCGGCGAGCGUGGCAUGACGGGAAGAAUGGCAUCCACCUGAAGGCCAAGGCUGGGCCUUCGGGGCUUCUGCGGCCUAAGGCGGCGGGUCUGAGCAAGAACACUCUGCCAUCGCCGGCUCGGGACGGGAGGCCCACCCGUGGCCGAGCACGCAGACCUGGAUGAACCGAGGCCUCGAUGGGCCUGGACGAAGGUGAGCGGGGCCCCGAAUCACGGCGAGAGGAACGAUCGAUUCUUGGGCCGCGGGUCUUCCCUCCACCCGAGAGAAGCCGAGACGCGACAACCGCAGGCGGCCAUUCGGAAACGCUGUCGCCGUAGAAGUCCUGUGUAUAUAAUAUGAAAAAGCUGCUCUCAACCUUUCCCCCGACCCUUUUUAGACUUCUGGCUAAAUCUGGACGUCUAACUGUAGAGAUUGCCGACACAGGGUAAAGGAGAGGUAGGAGAUGACGUGAAUACCCAGUCGCCAUAAAAAGAAGAUCGUGGACACGUCUUCUGCAAGUGAUUUUGAAAUGGAAUUGUUUAGGCCGCCUCUAGAAAGACCCAGCACUCGUCCCUGUUUGUUCAGUACCUUAGAGGAUCCAGCAGGAGGAGGAAGAGGCCCGGAGCCAGAUUGGUCGUGUGAAGAAGACGUGUCUCUCUUUUUUAUCCUAUUGUAUUGUGUAUGCAUUUUAGUCCUCAUUUCUUACCCCCCACACCAUGUUUGCGUGUGUGCCUGUGUGUGUGUAUUUGAGUGUGUUUGAAAAUGCCAGGUUUUGGGGGUAAUGUCUUUCUAGCUGCUCUGAAGUGCCUGCCAUAUUUUAUAAGUAGUAAAACAUGCUGUAAAUACCUUUUUGUUAGGAUUCAUUUGAAUUAUUGUUUGGAGAAGAAAAGCCAAACCUCUCCUGAGUUGACCGCAUUGUGUUUGUGCCCUGGUUCACAGAAGGAAAUCCAGAGCUCUAAGCUACUGUGGUCCGUGAGUGGAAAGGAACCACUAUCUCCCACUAUCCCAUUUUGUUUGGCUUUUCUUUGUACAUAGUGUAUGUAAAGGACAAAGGGGGCCUAAUUUACAACAUCUAGUCACUCUAGAUGUUAAAGAGGUUGCCAGUGUAUGACAAAGUAGAGUUAGUAGAACAACACUUUUUUUUUUUUUUUUACAUUUUGUGUUAAAGUUGUAAUUACUCUUGCUACGUGUGCCGUUUACUGACUGCUGUGUAUAUAGUGGACAACAGUCCUUACUUGAAACAUCUGGUCUAUCUAGAUGUUUAGAAGUGCCCAACGUAUGUUAAAUGUAGAGGUAGUGAAAUAUCACUUUGUAAAUAUCUUUUUGCAAACACUCAUGAGUCGUUGUCUUUGGGGAGUGGGGUGAUGAGCCCUCUGAGCAGUACUGUCUUUACUUGCUCCGGGGUUUGGAGGAGGUGUUGGGAGGCAGUGACAACGGCCAUGUAGUGUGUGUGUAUAUGGGACCUUUUCAGAUGCCAUUUUUAUAUUCUUGCAUUUUGUUUUGCUGUGUGUAUACUGUAUAUAAUGGACAAAUAUGUCUAAAUUUUCAACAUCUAGACUCUAGAUGUUAAAGAGGUUGCCAAUGUAUGACAAAGUAGUAAAUUUAGCACAUAGUGUACACCGUUAAAAUUCAUAGAAAAUUUUGUUCUGUAAAUGGCUUGGGGAUAGGAUUUGCUUAGCUGUAUCUAAGCAUUACACAUACCUAUAUUUGUCUAUUGGUUUGAAGGGAGAAGAAAGUGGGUCGAAGCCCAAAUGGUUAUGUUUAGAAGAUACCUCAGAUAAUAACCAUUGCUUUGCAUACAGUUUUAUUUACCAGUGCCAUGUCAAUAGCAGAUAAGUUCUUACAUGAAACAUCUAGUCUUUUAGAUAUCUGAAAGUGCUUGAUACAUUUAAAGGUACAGGUAAUAGAAUAAUAUUUUGUGUAUAUAGUUUUUUUAAACUGGAGAAAUGCUGUGUGU
rnacentral:lncRNA from 1 species